ensembl:lncRNA
AUUCCACUGGGUUGGGGUCAGGGCAUCCGUCUCCAUUCGGUUCCUGUGUACGCAGCAAAUAAAACCCUGAAUGUACACUUCAACACUUUCGGUUCAGGCGGGCUGGGUUUGACGUUGUGCUGACCCGCAGGAAUGAGGUGAUGGGGGAGCUGAACCUUUCCGAACCGGGGGGCUUUAUUCGCGGUUAUAGUGACGCACGACUCCUCGUGUCCUCCUAUCUGGCGUUCAUCACCAAGGCGGCGCUGCGAAUGACUUGUUCCUGGCUGCCAGUAUCAGCUCAACACUGGAGUCUGGCUGCAGGAGGCCUGUCAGCUCCUGAUGGAUGAUGACCCAGCAGAAAACUGGCACGAGAAUUGUGCAAAAUAUCCGCUGGUGACACGAGGCCACGUAAGCUGUGUAAACGAUGACGAGCUCCGACAGCACGUCUGUCGGCGCGUCUGCAAAAUGUUUUGACGCUUUCAAAAGCACUUUGAGGCCCUUUCGGGGCGAACCUGCUUAUUUGAGGAUCCCCCGGGUUGACCGUCAUCUCUGACAGAGCAUCUGAAUAAUGUCUACCGUCCCCAGCAGGAAAGCACUGAGACGAAGGCGGAUCAUUGAAGGCCCACGUCAGACCCCGGGCACUCAAACGGUUUAGAGGAAGAUCUCGGGAAACAAAAGUAUCCCCCGUUGAAACCUGCUGGAGCUUUUAGUUAUAAUCCCCCAUGUUGGGUAAUAAAAGAACCGUCUGAAAGGAUCCCAGGUGGAGCCUUUAUGAAAUGAAAUGAGGAUAGUGGCACAAAUACACAAAUCCCAAACCAGCCAUGUCGCUCGUGAUUUAUUGAGCCGAACAAAACGAGCAAAAAACAACAACAAAAAGGAGCUUCUUCCGACUCUCCCCCUUCUGGAAAAAAAACCCAUGAGCCCGCCCCAGUGCAUGCUGGUCCGGUACCGGUCUACUCAUGUGUGUGUCCACAGCCGCUUCUAAAAUGUGCUAAACUAAAUGAAAAUAAACAGCUAUCUGUAUCAAAUGAAUAUAACCUAAAUAAACGAGCUUCUAGAGAGAAUACACACAAUAUCACAUCAUGUGAAUGAAAUGAC